AGGUUCGGAUGAGAAGACGAGGAGCGAAAAAAGUCCAAUAUUUCUUUCCGCCACAUUGAACCAUAUCAAUGUGUAAGAAAACAAAAAAGUUUGAUUACUAAGACUUGGCUCGAUUUAUAUAAUAUCGGAAAAUUAUAUUAGUGUAUAUUUUAAAUCAAAAUUUACUUUUAUCAUACUAGCAGAAAAAUCAUGAUAUGCAUGGCAUUUGUGAUCUCUAAAAAACAUAUUUGUAAAUUUAGUUUUAGGUUGUUCAAAUAGACAAUCUAAUAAAGAAAAUAAAACAAAAAUAGUGCAAAUGACAGUGACCUCCUCUUAAGUUUGUUUUUUAUACAAUUGCCCCUGACCUUUGAAAAAUUACACUAAACUCCCUUGUCAUUUAAAGUUAGAUUUCAAAAAUUUCCUAGUCAAUUGUUAAGUUGACUAAUAGAAUUUGAUAACAUCAACACAUAUUUCUCUCAAAAAUUCCAAUACAUCCUUAGGAAACCCUAGCUAUUUAUAUAUAUAAAAAAAACUUAGAAAAACCCUAGGCUUAAGCCAAAACGGGAGGAGUAAAUUUUCAAUGCAACAGUGAUACCACGUGGCAUUGAUGGUAUAUACCAAUUUGAGGGUUAUAUUGGGGAUGAUGAUGAUGGGGUUGAAGAAAUUUUUUUCAAAAUAAUAGGGGCAUUUCAAUCAAUGAAGACGGUGAUAGUGGAACAACGUAAAGCAUGAAGGGCAAUGACACAAGAAAAGGAAGGGAAAUGCACCGACUAUACAUGUCAUUAUUUUUUGCUACAAAUAACCAUCUGGGCUCCCAACCAACUAUCAAAAGGGCCCUUGGCAGGUAAAAUAGCUGUCGCACAAGCACAUGGAUUGCGGCCCCAAAUUUUUUUAAAUGAGAUGCUUCAUUCUGUUGAAUGCUGUGAAUUCAUUCAUAUACUUUCAGUGCUAUGUUUUGAUACUGCAAUUGUCACUUAUGGCGAGAUAUAGGUUCUCACUUAACCAUUAAUUUCGGGUUCUUUUUGUUGCGAGACUCAAAGAAAAGUUUUGAAUUGUUUAUUGCAACUUUAGAGACAACUUAGGCCGAUAUUGAUGUACUAUUGGUGAUGGUGGAGUGAUUGAAGACAUAAGAACUUAAUUUAAUUAAUUUUCCUUGUUUAUUGUCCUCGAGGAAUUACAUUGUUAAAUCUGUUGAUGCUAUUUAAAGAUGCUGCAACUUCUUUUGUUAAGUUGUUUUAAGAAAUCAUUAAAUGGUUUGGAGUAAGUAAUGUUAUUCACAUGGUGACAGAUGAUGGCGGCAAAUUAUUUUGUUUCAGGAGAUUAAUCAUGAAACUUUACAAGACUAUCAAUUAGUCUCCUUGCGCGGCAGAUUAUUUGAACUUAAUAUUGGGUGAAAUUUCAAAGAUGAACCAUAUUCUGACUUGCCAUUAGAGCAUCAAAGGUGAAAGGUUGUUUCAAUCGCCCAUGGUUGGUAGCUUGGUUGAGGAAAAUGAAGGGUUGGACUAAAAUUGUGCUCCAGGACAAAUUUGUUUUGCCACUACUGUUUAUGUGCAUUACAUAGUACUCAUAAAUAUAUGCAUACUGAAGGCUUUGGUGACAGUAAAGAGUUGUGGAUUCAAAGGGGCAAAAGGAGAGAAGCCAAGAAAUUAUGCCAUCAUUUUAAAUAAUAAGUUUGGGAAUAAUUAUUUUGAUUAUUGUUAAGAUUGUUAGUCACUCAUGCAUUUGUUGUGCGAUUAAUUGAUGAGAUGUAAAGCCUUCUAUGAGAUAUGUUAUGAGGGGCAUUUAUAGAGCACGUACAAGGAUCAUGAAAUUUUUUUGAACAACCAGAUUCUAUAAAGUCCUUAUACGAUAUCUAUCUUGAAGUCACGUUGGGAUACUACAUGUAAAUAUGCAUGCUACUGCUUAUUGGUUGAAAUUCAGCUUUUUACAUAUGGUCAAGCAUCAUUUUGUAAAAACCAGAAGUUAUGUCAAGUUUCCCUUGAUCUAGUUGACACCAACAGCUACAUGUAGUAAGAUAAAACUCUUUGGAUAAAUCAAGAUUGUAUCGGGAUCAGCUGAUAAAGGUUUGGAAGAGAACUGCUUUAACUACAUGCAAGACAUACAACCUAGUAUGAUUGUUUAUUUUAUUUUUAUUUUGGUUAAUAUCUCAGUAGUGUAAUGUAAUCUAAUUUAAUUUAACUUUUUUUUGUCUCUUUUGUUAGUCCUUGAUAAUAAAAAAAGAUGAAUGUGGAUAUGUUUUGGUCCUAGUCUCCAAACGUUGCAGAACUUGGCACUCGAAUCUAUGCAAACAGUAGCUCUUUUGGCAUGUGAAAGAAAUUGGAAUGUUUUGUGAACGUAUCAUCCAAAGAAAAGGAAUAAGUUAGAGCAUUAAAGACCUGAAUAACCUUUUAUCAUCACUACAAUUUAAGAUUGCAGAAUGUUAAACCAAUUUUGCUUUGAUACUUUAUAUUACAUUUGGCUAAGGGAUUUUUUUAGCUUGUAGUCUUACUUCAAUAUAGGCAUUUGUACAAAUGAAGAACAA
rnacentral:lncRNA from 1 species